GCUCCAGUAGCCCAGUGGUUUAAGGCGUCGUGCUUAUAGGGAAUUUAACCUAUACCAAAGCAACGCGAAGGUCGCGAGUUCGAUCCUCGCCUGGAGCA